GACCAUGAGCGUGGAAGAUAAAGAGCAAUUCUCUCUCACCAAAAGACCAAACCUCUCUUCUCUUUUUUUGUCUUUUUUUUUUGUUUUUGGUUUAAAGCAAACCUCUCUUCUCUUAUCUCAAAAGAUUAUGUGUAAUUAAUAAAUAGAAAAUUAUUAAUCUCUCCUUAAUCCCAGGAAGAAUAUAGAAAAAAAUGUCUAAAUUAUCGUAUAAUCUCAUCUUCUCGAUUAUCAUCUUGGUCUUCUUGUGUUUGGGUUUGAGAUCAUCAGCGUUUACGAAUCUCAAUACCUUAAGCUUCGAAGAAUCACUUUCUCCUCUAUUCGGUGAUGCCAAUCUCGUCCGUUCUCCUGAUGAUCUCUCCGUUCGCCUCCUCCUCGAUAAGUACACCGGUUCUGGUUUCAUAUCAUCGAAUAUGUAUCAACAUGGAUUUUACAGCUCUAUGAUCAAACUUCCCGCCGAUAUAUCAAGGAACAAUCACACCUAUUUCAAGAUCAAUUGAAUUCGCAGAUAAAUUUCCUGACGAGUUAAGAGAAAAGACCCAAUUACAAAGAUUUUUAGGAUGUCUAAACUAUGUUUCAGACUUCUUACCCAAUCUUAGGAAAACAAUUCAACCAUUAUUUCAACGGUUACAAAAUAAUCCAAAACCAUGGACUAAUCAACAUACCCUUUUAGUCAAACAAGUUAAGCAAAAGGUUAAAACUCUUCCAUGCCUUUCCAUACCAAAUCCUGAAGCUGACAUGAUAGUUGAAACUGAUGCUUCAGAAAUAGGUUAUGGUCGAAUAUGUAUCAACAUGGAUUGCUAAACUGGUUGUUAUUAUCGGUUACUUUUUUUCUCAAAAAAGAUAUUAGCGGUUACUUAUUUGGAUUAUGUUUCUGAAAAACUAUACAACAUUAUACAUAUAUGAUGUUCUUUGUAAAUAUAACAUAUUUAUUUGCGCUAAACUAAGUUUUGUAUGUUAUUCGAAAAUGUUCUUAAUAAACUUAGACAUAAAAACACAUCCCUAAAAAAUCGCAACACCAGAAAAGCUGUAUACUCUGUGUUAUAAAUCUUUUUUCGACCCUUAUCUUUCCACCUCAUAUGUGAUUCUUACUUUGAUGUCAUAUUCGUUUCCAUAGUUCCUAUAAAAACGAAAAAUGUGCUUGAAGUUUAUGAAACAAUAUCUAUAAGAAUAUUCUGAUAGAUAAUGUUGAAAGAAAAACAAAACGUUUAUUUUUAUUUGUUGAAUGCAGAAGUUAGCAACAAUUGAACACAGCGGGCCAAUAGUGAUUGUGUGUACAGAUGGUAAUGGAAUCACUCUCUUGUCUAAAAGAAAAGAGAAAAGGACAAAAGAAAGACAGAUUGCUUCCUUAGUAAUACAAAGGGAAAAUAAAUUCAGCCUCCAUUUCUAAGUAGUACGUACCACUAUAUUUUCACAUUAUGAUCAAUAUACUGUUCUUAGAAAGGUACUAACUUAUACAUUCUACACAAGCUAAAAAUAUAGUGGUACGUACUACGUAAUGCAGAACUAAUUAAAAUUAACAUGAUGUUUCUUUGCGGCUCGUAUCACAUAAUAUCACAAGUCUCCUAGCUUUAGUUUUUUUCUUUUUUUUUUUGAACUUUUCCUAGCUUUAGUUUAUGAAAAAAAAAUCGUUAUACAACUUAUUAGCAGAUUGCGAUAUAAAAUUAAACACAGUUUUGUAUUGUAGUUAUGUAAGUUUAAGACUGUGUCUUUAUAACUUUCGAAAAAGUAUUUUUAUAUUGUAAUAAUAUUGACAUGUAUGCUUUUUGUUUGGCAAACAAUAUAGACAUGCAUGUUUCUUUUAUUUUCUUUUCUUUUCUUUUUGUCAGCAAAUAGAUUAGUUUGUUGUUCUCAUAUUUGUAGAAAACUUGUAAAUAAAUUUAUUGUUUGAUUUGUAUAAAUAAGUAGAUUGCAAAAUAAUCAAAAUACAGACAACCUUACACAUCUGUGAUUUAUGGUUGAUUUGUAUAAAUAAGUAUAUUGCAAAAUAAUAUAAAUACAGACAACCUUAUACAACUACGAUUUAUGCACCAUAAACGAUUUAACUAUUUUAUUAGCAGAUCAUGAUAAUAUACCGUUAUUACUCAUAAUUAAAAUCCAUGGGUUAGUUUUGUCUUCUAAUUGCUUUGCGCUAAUAAGUUGAUGGCCAGAUGCAUGCAUAGAUGUUAGAGAGUAGAGAGGUUGGUAAACCAAAUCAACUAACUACACAUUUACAUAUACAGCCCUGUCGCACAUAUAAAUCAUGAUUUUUAUUUGUAUAUUGAGAGUUGGUAACUAAAUUUAGAAGGAUUAAUUAGCACAAUUGAAGUGAAGUAUGAUCGUAAGCUUUUAAAACGAUUAGUUUCUUUUGUCUGGUCUCGGUAGUUCAUUUAGGUAUUUUUGAGAAUUAUUCUAAAGUGGCUCACGCUUAAAUAUAAGAGUAUCAAAACUGGUUACUCAUAUAAUAAUUAUUUGGGUGUUAUGGGGAUUUGACGUAUCUUUUUUUUGGCUUAAUAUUUGACGUAUCUGGUGCGGCUAACUAAUUAAAGGAAAUGGACCAAAGCUAAUCAAAUGUGUAAUAUGUAUCAGUAUAUUGUCCUGAAAUUUGUUACCACAAAAGUAAUGUCAUGUUAAUCAUUGUCUAUCUUAUUAUGUUCAUGACGCUACCCAAUCUUUGAAUUUAUUAAGAAUAUCAUAAUAAUAUUGUGAAUACGUAUAUAAAGCGAAAGUGAACAAAAGAUAUAUAUAUAGAAAGAGGAAACAUAACUAAUUAAAGUAUUAUGAUAGAAAAUCAUAACUAAUUAAAGUACAAAAGAGAGCAUGGAAAUGUUUACGUUUGGCUGUCCAUAGUUUUGGAAUCUAUACCUUCUUUUAUAUUAUUUGUUGUCAACGACCUUUCCAUUAAUUUAAAGUGUUGAUUAGUGUAACUACCUAAUAUGAGCAACUACACGUAAAUUUAUAUAUUUAUAUAUAAAAUCAUAUUUUAGUGAUGAAGAUGACCGGCUAUAAUGUACAGUAUGCAUGGGAAUACAGAUAAAAGACUCUUUGACAUCCAUUUCAUACUCAAUUGCAUACUUAGACCAUGAUUAAUCCCAGUUUCUUAACUCAGGUUCUUAGCUUCGACUAAGAAACGGUUCUUAGCUUUUUUAGAUUUUAACUAAGAAAAAUUAAGAACCGUCUUUUAAAUAAGAGAUAUAAGAGCCGUUUCUUAGCCGAAAAAUGUAAAAAAAAAAAAUAUCAAAUCAUGAGUUAAGAACCCCAACUAAAAAACUGGGGUUAAUCAUACCCUUUAAAACCGCUUAUAAUUCUCUAAAACCGGCUAAACCUGCAUCUCAAAGUUAAUCAUGCCUUGACACCAUUGAAACUGAGAUCCAGUACUUCUAAUUCUCUAAAACCGGCUGAACCUGCAUCUCAAAGUUUCUUUUAGUUCUUGUUUCGUUCUGGAAAGACAAAACUAAACUAGGUUUUGUUAACAUAUAUAUACCUUGACCGGACAAGAAGAUGAAACUGUUGUCCUUCAAGUUUAACACUUUCAAGUUUCUCAUGUUUGCAAGUCCUGCCACACACCAAAACAAGAAACCGUCAAGAUCAUCUCCCAUUUACUUAUAAUACAAAAAAAUUCUAAUAACAUUUAGAAGAAAUGUAUAAC